AUUAAAGUUGAACUUUCUAGAUUUAAACGCAUAUAAUGUUUAAAUGGUAUAUUUGAUAUCGUUUACUUCCUUCAUAGAUUGCAGGAAUAUGAUAAAAUAUUAAAUAAACAAGAGGAGGAGAUAGUCAAACUGAGAGCUGAAAUAAGGUUAAAACAAGAGGAAAUAGCAAAACUAUCAAAAUUAGUACAUGUGUUGAAAGGAAAUGAAACAAAAGCAAUACAGCUACGAGAUGAGAAUGAAAAACAAAAAACUGAACUAAAACAAAGUGAUAUGAAAGAGCUGGUACAACUUAAAGAAAGAGAGAAGAAAGUAAACGAACAGCAAGGAGACAAUGAGAAACUAAAAGCUGACAUAAAAUCUAAGAAGACGAAAUAGAAAAAUUAUCAAAAUCCUAAGAAAAUUAGAAGAAGGUGAAAAAUUUGCAAGAAGUGAAUGACACACUUAAAGCUGACAUAAACUUAAAACAAGAAGAAAUUGAUAAAUUAUGAAAAAAAGUUAUUAUAAACAAACUUUCGGGUUUUAAAUAAUUUUAAGUCAAGCACCACUGUUGAGUCGGAUGUAGACGAAACAUGCGUCUGACGUAUCGAAUUAUAUUAUUUUCUAUCAGUUUUAGCAUAGCGAAAAUCAAAUUCAGUUACAACUUCUAAUUCUUUAUUUUGAAAUUUGUAUUGUUUUAUUCGAACUGUUUAUGUACAAUGAUAAAUAAAAAGAUUUUGAAUAAAAAUUAAAU